GUACCCUCAAGCUUUGCUUGGUGUUGGGUGUUUGUCCUCUCCUCUGUGUUUGGACUCGCCUUAAAAUAAUUGGCAGCCAGUGUUUUGGUAUAGAAGCGCAGCACAUUUUGCGAUUCUGGCUGAUAAUACUUGCGUCCAUAAGCCUUUUUAUUAAC
rnacentral:misc_RNA from 1 species